UCAAUUCAGUUUUCCCUAGGAGACCAAAUCUUAUGCAAGGCAUGUGUGUGACUCUGAUGCUAGGAUUCUCACUUCUGCCUCCCACAUGUCGUGUGACUCUUCUCAGCCCCUAGAGUUUGCAGCUGCCCUCUUGGGAAGCACUGGAGUUGUGGGAGUAAUGAAGCAGAGGCUGGAGGAGCUCCUAGCAAACAGUGCCUCUGGCACUGGGUUGGCAAACUGGGGUCAGUGGAUUUUCCAGGAGAUUAUUUUACAAGUUGAAGUGGAGAAUCACAGCUCUAGAAAAAAGGCAGCUAUGUUCCAAAUUGCAAACAGUCUCGGGAAAGCACUGUACUUCUGCUGCUAUGAAGCUCCAAAUGUAGCCAUGUAUUUACUGUGCUGCAAUCUGUAUUCUAUAGAGUACUCUCUCCAACUGCAGGUGCCUUGCCCAAAAACCCUUGCCAAGGGGCAAGCCAACGACUAUGAUGCCUUCAGAAGAAGUUAUUUCAAAUACAUUGAUAAAAUUAGGCAGGUCAUAGCUGGACAGAGCAGGACUGGGCACAUCUAAAUCCUUACACUGGAAGGCUGCAGCAGAACAAUCAUAUGUUUGAACACAACCUGAGACACUUCAGGGGCUGUGUCCUCAUUUUUUAAAAAAGCGGUGGGCUUUUAACUUAUGGAAAUGACUUUGUGUUCAAUCUCCAGUCCUGACACCCCACCUUCAAAAAGGAAAGUCAUGAGGGAAAAUGCAAUUUAAAGGUUGAGAUGUUCAUUACCACUUGGACUAUCUGUCUGAGGUCCUGUAUUUAACGGUGACCCUGAGAUGAGAACCUGUCCUCAAAAGAAUAUCUAAAAAGCAAUGAAUUUUCCAUGGUUCCCAAAGACCUUGGGGAUGGGGCAGAACAAAAGAACCCUCAGUAAAUGAGGGAGAAAGCUUCAGGAAUGAAGUGUGAGGACCUCUUGGUCUCCAGAAGUGGAGACUCUUCUGGGCCCUGGAACUACGCUGUGUGUGAGAAAGGGUGCCCACCUCCCAGGUGCUAUGCAGGGUGACCCAACUGCACUCACACCCAUAAUCCCAGUGUUGGACCAUGGGUCAAUCAAAAACUGUAAGAGCUCACCCCAUGACUGCAGGAGGCUUUGAGGGACAUCUAGACACAAAGCAUAGCAGUGCUCCAUGACUGCCUUCAUUUUAAGGCUGAGCGCCUCCUCUUUUCAUGGGACACUGUUGUGGAAGGGAGCGUGUGGAGCACUGGCUCUGGCACAACCAGCCACCAACACUGUGUAAAGCUGCUUUACGUGGGGAGGCUGGAAGUGAUCAAGAAAUAGCACGACUGCUUAUUUGGGAGACAGUUUCACAUGUGCUCCGAGGCUGUUUCUCCUGUGAAAUAAAUCAGAUGUAAAUGUGUAAAUAUCUCAUAGUGUGAGAAACUGAAGGAGGAAAUAAGGACCAAAAUGAACAAUAGAUGUUGAGCAAUGGAAGAAAUUGUUGAAAAGGAAAGAACAACUAGGUGGGGAAAGUGGGAAAGGAAAAAAGGAAAAUAACUAUUUAAAAAGAUCAAAUAGAAACAAAGCUUUGUAAAGAGGGAGGGGAAAAUGGAUUGAAGGGAGGGAAAGGGAUUGGGGAAAAGCAGAGAAAUCAAAAUAUACCAUGUACAGUCAGAAAUGUCCUAUGACAAAUAUGAUCUUAGUGUAUAUCCAAAACAUAUCAAUAAAUUUAAUUAUAUUAAACAGAAACAAAAGCAAAAACCAUAGCUCUCAUACUAACCCUAAAACUAGUUUAACUAGUUAAGCUAGCUAGUCUAACACUGACCCUAAAUCUAAUACUAACCUUAGGUCUAGCUCUGGUCCUAAUCCUUGGCUGAAGUAAAAGCCUAACCCUAAUGGUUAUGCCUAACCCUGGACCUAGACCUAACACUAACUCUUACAUUAACAAUAAACUUCAUAAUAAACCUAACCUUAGCUCUAGCCCUAACCUAAUGCUAACAGUAACCCUAACCCCAACCAAAGAUAGCACUACCCAUAAGCCAAGCCUAAACCCUCACCUUAAAGCUAAUCUUAAUUUAAACCAAAACCUAACAUAAUCCCUAGCCCUAACCCUCC
rnacentral:lncRNA from 1 species